rnacentral:lncRNA from 1 species
UUGAGAUGUUAGGGAGGCAUAUUUGAUGGAUGAGAGCUUUGGGAACCAUUACCAUGCUUGCUAUCAUCUCUUUUUGACCAUUUCUUUGUACCAAUGACCUCCUAGAAGCUUUGGACCUUGUGAUUGCUCAAGCAGUAAACAAAAGAUGUUAGUGAUAUAUUUUUGUGCUUUUGGUUAGUAAACAAAAUUGGAAAAGCAAUUAUAUACAAUUCAAGCAUGCUUGGUGAUCU